AGUGAACGCUGGCGGUAGGCCUAACACAUGCAAGUCGAACGGCAGCACAGUAAGAGCUUGCUCUUACGGGUGGCGAGUGGCGGACGGGUGAGGAAUACAUCGGAAUCUACUUUUUCGUGGGGGAUAACGUAGGGAAACUUACGCUAAUACCGCAUACUACCUACGGGUGAAAGCAGGGGAUCUUCGGACCUUGCGCGAUUGAAUUAGCCGAGGUCGGAUUACAUAGUGGGCUGGGUAGGGGCCCACCAAGGCGACGCUCCGUAGCUGGUCGGAGAGGAUGAUCGGCAAAACUGAAACGGAGAACGGGCCCGGACCCUUACGGGAGCCAGCAGUGGGGAAUAUUGGACAAUGGGGGCAAGCCUAAGCCAGCAAUACCGCGGGGGUGAAGAAGGCUUUCGGGUGGUAAAGCCCUUUUGUAGGGAAAAAAAAGCAUCAGGGUAAUACCCCGCUGUUCGGACGGUACCCAAAGAAUAAGCACCGGCUAACUUCGU
rnacentral:rRNA from 1 species